AAAACGACUCUCGGCAACGGAUAUCUCGGCUCUCGCAUCGAUGAAGAACGUAGCGAAAUGCGAUACUUGGUGUGAAUUGCAGAAUCCCGUGAACCAUCGAGUCUUUGAACGCAAGUUGCGCCCGAAGCCAUCCGGCCGAGGGCACGUCUGCCUGGGCGUCACGCAUCACG
rnacentral:rRNA from 1 species